UCAAUACCCUAACACUGUUUAUUAGGAAUAAAAAUGUUUCUCUCCUCCUCUCGCUUUAAAAUACAUGAAGACUUAAACUGUUACUUUACGACGGAUGGAAACACUUAUUACAUUCUGUAGGUAUGUGAAUAGCUAUUUUGAAGCAAACACAGGGUUCAAGAAGCCUGGGAGCAAAUCAGGAUUUCCUUCAAAGGGCGCUCCUGAAUCGAGGAUUCAGAGUUGCAUGAAGGAAGAGUGGCAGAUGGAGGGCAGUAAUUUGCCUCUCUCUUUCCCUGGCUGGUUAUGCCUGAUUAAAAAAGAACUAGGUAUGUUCACUAAUGAGUAAGGAAUAGAGGAGACGUAUCAGAUCAGGUUAGAGCGGUGGAUCUCAACUUCUGUAUUAGGUGGCUGACAAAGGGGAAGCUAUUGCAGAGGUGUUUUGGAGCUGGCUAAUUUCAGUUCAUGAGAGUAGACUGUUAAAUUUUUAGGAAUCCUGUGAAUCAACCAUUAUAAAAAUUAAGUUAUACUAACAUACACUUAAAUACAUAAAGUUAGGAAAACAAAGGCAAUACAUACUCCGUCAUCACUUCUUAAUUGUUCUACUGCAUUUUACUUUAUGCUGUUUACAUUUACUGUAUCAGUAUGCUGGAAAUGUCAUCUAAAUAGCGUGCUCCUGUGCAUCUUUUCCCAACUCUGAAUUCAGUGAUAUCAUAUUGGCACUUGGAAUUGGCCAUGGUAGUAUUUACACUAUGAAAAUUGGCAAAUGCUGCAAACCAGGGCUUUUCUCUUUUUUUCCCCUUAGAGCUGGUUUGCAAACAUUUACUAGCAUACCGCUGGAUGUGAGAAUGAAGUUUUAGAUAGGAUUGGACUGAAUUUAGAAAAAAACUACUUUAGGAAAAAUUUCAAAUAUACAUGAAAGUGGAAUACUAUUAAGAAUACUCAUAUGCCUAUUUUCCAACUUCAGUAAUCACCAACAUAUUGUCUGAAGUAUUAUAAAUCAAAUCCCAAGUACCUCAUAGGUUUUAUUUAAAAACAUUGCUGCAUAUAUCUCUAAUGCUUAGGAACUUAAAGAUGUAAUCACAAUUUUAUUAUACUAAGUAUUAACAAUAAUUUCAUGAUACUCUUUAAUACUAGUCCAUAUUCAAAUUCUUUGACUAUUUCAAAGAUGUGUUUUUAGAAUUGGUUUAUUUGAAUCAGGAACCAAACAAGUGAACUGGUCUUUUUAAUAACUGGAAGAGAGCACAAAGCUAUGAAGUCUAUCUGAGAUGUCAUUAAAGAGCAGGAAAGGAAGAUUUGACAGAACAUAGUUCAAAGUAAGGAUUAGAGAAAAAUAAAACUGUUUCAUGUUUAUGCCCUGCUGAGAUCAGACUCUUCAAUAAACUGGUUAUACAAAAAAAGCACACAAUAUAUUUGGUGCCCUUAAAAAGUUCAUGUUUUAGGGCAGUAGUGGAUGUUUAACUUUUUUUUAGGUCAUAGGCACCUUUUGAGAGCUAACGAAAGUUACCUGCAUGUGUGGACCCACGUUUGCACACAGUUAUGCAUGCUAUUUGAAGGCGCAUAGAACUCUCCAAAACUCAUCCUGGAGCCAGUGGAACCAGAGCUAAGACCUGGGAUUUGGAGGGUAGGAGGAAGACAUGUUCAUGAAUAAUUAGAAUCUAUAGUAUUAAUGUUAGAGCCUAACAUAUUCUAAGUGCUUUUGGGACACAGAGGAAAAGAGUUGCUAAUUCCUUUUAAAGCACAAGAAAAUUGACAUUGGAAGUGGAGUUUGACAUUUGGAGUAAGAGUUUCUCAAUCAGAGAUGGUAAUUAAGGCUGGCAUACUGAAGUUGGAGGUGACAAGAGAUAAUACUAAACAGACAGCUUAGCUAAGAGGUCAAGAACCACAAAGAGCUGUAUAAAGGAAUUUGAGUUUCAGUUGGUUUGUCAUUGCAGGAUUCUAAACUAGGGAGUGACAUGAUCAGAUUUGCAUAAGGGCAAGUUCGGUGCAGCAGCAGUUUAGGGGGUGGGAAUUUCAGGUGGAGACUGAACACAGUGAGGCCUGGUAGCAACCGUAACUAUUAUAAUAGUUGAAAUUAAAGAUGACAGGGUCUGGACUAUGGCACAAUCAAUGAGGUCAGAAAAGAAGGAAGGACUUUAGGAGGUAUUUAGGAGAUAGUAGAUGAAGUAGUGUGGGUGCAUGUGCUAAGAUUCUUAGCUUUAAGGCUCUGAUAGAAAAGGUAAUGCUAUUUACUGAAAUAAAGAAUAUAGGAUGCAUAGCUGUGGUCUAGAAGAGAGAGAGGACAGAAGAAGGCCAUUGGUUUGGAGCACUUUGAAUUUGAAGUAUCUAUGGAACAAACAGGAAGGGAUUCCCAUAAGGAGCUAGAAAGAAAAGAUCAGCUCUGGGAGCUAGCCCAAUGCUUUAGGUGCAGAAUGAGUAUAAGGAGGCUUAGUCUAGUUUGGGGUCAUUUCUGGUUUGAAGUUGUUUAUGGUCAGAGAUGGACCAUGAUUAGUUAUGGGACCCAGUGAACCUUCAGGGCUUCUCCAUGGCAAAAUUUUAUCCUCCAAAAAUUUACCCAAGAAGCAUUUCUACUGAGAAAAACAAACGAACAAAACAAAAAAAACCCUGUUAAUCUCACAGUAUUCUUUUUUUUCUUCAAUCCGAUUUCAUCUCCAAAUGGCAGAACUUUACAAAUAUAAAUCUGGUCAUAUCUCCUGCCCACUUAAAACCUUUAAAUAGUUCUCCAUUGCCUAGGACAAAGCUCAAACUCUUCCUUACCCUCUCCUAAUUUUAAUGACAAUGAUUGUUUUUUUCAUGUGGAUAGUAAUUCUUCAGGGAACCCUUUCUAACCCUUCAGGGCCAGGUCUCAGUGAUAUUGAAAGUAUUGUAGAUAAGUUAAAAGUUGAUUACAUUUCCCUCUACUAAGCAACUUUUUCAGCAAACUGGUAUCACUGAUUUAGAAGAUACUACUAUGGAGUAGAAUUGAAGUCCUGCUAUGUGCUGGGUAGUUUGAAAGCAGUUGUUUGAAACUACAGUGAUGAAGAAAUUGAAGUAUAAACUCCAAAUUGCCUUGUCUCAAUUAUAUAUUGUGUUGUCAAGAGAUUAAAAUACUAAACUUAGUGUUUAGGCAUAGGAUGAUCAUGUUCCUGGUCAUUUUUCCUGGGUUGAUCAUAGAAUUUUUUGUGGCUGUACAACUGGAUGCCAGUUUCUACCCUCUGCUGACUCCCAGCCAGAUUAUUCUUUAAUCUGUCCUCAAUUUGAUUUUCUUAUCCAAAAAUAAAAAAUGGAACUCUAAGAGUCUAAAAUGAAGGUGAGAAAGAAGGCAUAGAGGCUGAGUGAGAGAGAAACAAUGUGUAAUUUUUACUUGGAAAGACAGCAAGGGAAAUGAGCAAAAGAAUAGGCUCUUGGAGUCAUGUUAAAUUCUGUGCUGUGCUAUGUAAACACAUCAUGAGAAAAGUGUUAAUCUAAUGCUAGGCACCCUAUGAAAAUCUUGUCAUUCCAAAACUAUGUUCCAUUUUCAAGGGACUAGAGCUUUGCAUUUCUUGGAAGCAUUGAUCAGUGUAAGUGCAGGUCGAUCGAGGCUUUUGUGUUUGCAUUUAAAUGUUAAUCAAUCACAUUUUAUUAAAAAUUUAAGGCAAGAGUGAGAAUGGAAAAUUGUAUGGGUCUGUGCUUAUGACAAAGAAGUCAAGUUGAGAUCCAUUUUGAAAUGACUGGAGAAUUUCAUAAUGUGUACAGUAUUAGGGACCCAUCUGGACAACAGAUACUGGUGGUUGUAAUGAUGGGCAUGGGUUGGGGUUGGGACUAAUGAACAUUUAUUGACAAUCUCUACUUUGCAAGAUGAGAAAGUGCCUUCCGUGAUGUCUGGACAAAUGAACAGUGCAUCCGGGGAUCCCAUUAAUCAUUCCAUACAUAGUUAUAGUAGUAGUUAUCAUUUUAAGUGUUCUGAAUAUACCAUUUAAAAAGCUUAUUGUGAUAACACAUAUAUAACCUAAAAUUUACCAUUUUAUCUAUAUGAAGUGUAUAGUUCUAUGACUUUAAGCACAUUCACGUUGUUCUGCAACCACCACCACCAUCCAUCUCUAGAAUUCUUACAUCUUUCUGAACAAACUCCACACUCAUUAUAUAAUCACUCUUUAUUACCCCUUCUCCUGAACCCCUGGCAGCUACCUUUUCUUUUUUUCUAUCUCUGUAAACUUGACUACUCUAGACAGAUCAUAUAAGUGGAAUUAUACAAUAUUUGUCCUUUUGUGACUAGCUUAUUUUACUUAGAAUGCCCUCAAGUUUCAUCCAUGUUGUAGCAUGUAUCAGAAUUUCCUUUUUAAGGGUUGUGUAAUAUUUCAUUGUAUGUACCAUAUUUUGCUAAUUCAUUCAUUAAUAGAUCGUUCAAGUUUCCAUCUUUUGGCUAUGGUGAAUAAUGCUAUGAACAUACAUAUACAAACAUCUGUUCAGUCCUUCCAGUUCUUUGGGGUUUAUACCCAGAAGUGGAAUUACUGGAUUACAUGGUAAUUCUGUGUUUAAUUACUUGAGAAACCAGCAUACUGUUCUCUACAGUGGCUGCAUCAUGUAUUCCAACCAGUAAUAUGCAAGUGUUCUAAAAAAACAUAAAAAUAUGUUUUCCUAUAACUGAAAGUUAAUAGGAAAAGUGCUGUAAAAUGUUAAGAAGGAAAGCUGGGGUACAAAAAGUCAAGUGGAAGAAGGGUAAUUUGUUCUUCCUUUUUAACUCUCUAAACCAGAAGAGCUUCCCAACUGAUGAGCUUCAAAUAUGCUGCUCUGAUGUCGAUCCCCUAAACUCUUAGGUGGGGUAGACGGUGGAGGAUGAGGUCCUGGGACAAUAGGCAGGUCCUGGGGCUAACAGCUGGGAGAGUCUGGAGCAACCUCCCCUAUUUGCUACAAUGUGCCUAACAAACCUAAGCAUUUUCUCUGUGGGCUAGUAUUUGAAAAAGGUUGGGAAACACUGUUCUGAAAUAUAGGGGUAAAGCCAGUAUUUAAAUCAGGAAGAGAUGUAGAAGCAUGAAACAAAAUAGUUCAAUGACCAUAUUUAUGGAGUACCUUCUACGUUACAGGGCCUAGGUCAGACUGGGGCAGGGUGGGGGGAGGAUACCUAGUGGAUACUAGGGGGUAAAUGAGGUAGAAUCAUUAUCCUUUCAAAGAGCUCAGUCUCUUGAAGCUGAGAGAUAGGUAAAGGAACAAUGGCAAUGACUUCUAAAGUAAUCUGCUGAGGGAUGAGGGAACUACAAGGUGCCCAGCCCCUGCCUUUUCAGGCCUUGAGAUUUGAAAAGAGAGUUAGAGAGUUCUCUGAACUCUUUAAAUUUUCCCUCCCAUGGGAGGCCAAAUGUAAUCCCUGCUUUUCAUUUUGUGGGAUGUGGAUGCUCAAGGUAACUUGGCCGUGUCAGGAAGCAAAUGAACUGUCUGAACUGAAUGGAGCUGCUUGUUAAAAAGCUUGUUAAAAAGUUUGGGUAAGGUGUCAGGACUUAGGAAAAUCAUUUGCAAUAUAACAGAAUUUUGAAAACUCAAGGAAGCCCUCCCUGAAGACUUUUCCUCAUAUCUGGGCUCUGGGCUCAGUUGGGCUCUGGUUAUCCCUAUUCUCGGCACCCUGGGUUUAUUUCUUAUGAAGGCACAUAAGUACUGUGGUUGUCUGGUUAUUUACCUAAAUCUCCCAUUUGUCCCCAAGUGUCAUGGAGACAGAGAUCCUACCCAGAAACAUUUGUUGGAUGAGUAAGUAAGUGAGCAGAGAGAGAGCUACAAAGUAAUCAGGUCCAUUGACAUGAAGUAGUAAAGGCACUCACAAUCACUUAGAUUGCUUUUGGAAAGUAGAUAUUCAAUCUCUGCUGUUAGAAAUUCUGACAGCUACAGAAUGGUGACAUGGUGCUAUCAUAGUUCUUGCACUGUAGCUCAAUACUUUCCAAAAUGUUCUAUUAGGUCUCUAUCCUAAAGUCUUCCCUAUCCCAUCCCCCAAGUAAUCAAUAUAUGACUGAAUGUCUCUAUAGGUUGCAAUUGUCUGAGUUCAUUAUGUUGUUGUAUUUUUUUGCUGAAUGUUUGUAAUACUGCAUGUGAGACACAAAAAUACUGCCACACUUUAUGUAGAAUAAUUUUAAGAGACUAUUGAUAUAAUUAGCCCAAUCAUUUCUAUUUUUCAUCCAAUUUGAUUAUAUUAUACCUACCUUUGAUUCUAGGUAGGAGGAUGAUAAGCCCGUUUCAUUUUAGCUUUCCCAUUUUUAACUGGAAGUAAUAUGAUUCCUAAAAUAUCAAUGAACAAUAUCCCAGAAGAAUUGAGGAAAUAAUGGGAUGAGGACUACAGUAAAAAGUGCUUUGGUGACCAGCAUUUUUAUCUGAAGUGUUGUAAAAGUAUACACAUCCUGCUGGGAAGAGGAUCAGUAAUCUCUUUCUAACUCAGAGCAGCAGUAUUCCAAUCUGGUUGAAAUUCUGGGAAGUGCUGGAAAUCCCCGAAGCAAAGUGCCAGAUGUCAUUUUUGGAUCCUGGCUAUGUGGGCUUGGUUGCUAAGAAGAUGAUGACUUCCUUCUCCCCUUUGCCACACUCAUCUGACGCCCGAGCGACAGGGAGUUGAUGUAAGCAGAGCAGGGAUCUAACAAUGUCAACUGUGCUGACAUCAUUCUAGCUGUGUGAGGCUGAUGGGAAUUUAGAAUAUCAAACAUCAUAUCAAGGGCAGUGACCAGGUGUGAGUCAUUUCCCUGGAGAAGCAGGAGAGAGGAAGAGAGGGCAGGAUUAUCUCACGCUGACACAUACAGCAUUUCAGGCUGAGCUAUUUGACUGGCUUAUUUAAAAGCAGAAAAACCUUGUGUUUCUCAAUCUCUCUCUCUCUCUCUCUCUCUCUCUCUCUCUCUCUCUCUCUCUCUCUCUCUUUCCUACCGGAAAUACUUUGUAUUCUGGUUCUGUGUGUGUCAGUAUAGAUUCGAGUGUUUCAACAUCAUAAUAUAUUAAAAUACACAUUCUUUAGGAUCAUUAAUUUCUAUAUUAUGUAAGAAAUAUGAAAACUCAAAGAAUUUUGUUUUUCUCUAUUUUCCCUUCAGGUAUCACCUAGUGAAUUGUUCAGCUAUCACUGAAUUGAAAAGGAGCUGAACAAAAGAGCAUGCUCUAGGGCUGAUGACACUGUUUUGGGAUUGCUAAAUGAGUACAGCACUUCAGUAUUCUAGCAGAGUAUACGGCUUGGUGCAGGGAAAGGGGAUGUGCAGUGAAUAUUUCUUGAAUAAACAAUAUAAAAAUCCUGUAAGUUUGUGAGUGUGGAUGUCAAUAUAUAGGCUCUCACCUACUUUAUGGAGUUAUUUAUCAGUUGCUUUUAAGGGAUAAUACACAUGGAGCCUGGGUACGGUAACCAUUUUGGUGUUAAUGAAGAUACUGGUUUCACAAAGCCUUUGCCCAUUUCAUUAGAAUGAUUGUGCUAGGGCAGUUAAGUCAGAAAGGAGUAAACAUCAAAGCAUCCAAAAAGCCUUCUGCUUCCCAAAGAUUCAGUGUUUAAUAGUAAUGCAAGAGGUAUAUUGACAUAUGGUUGUAUGGUCUCCAAAAUAAUCCCAAUUGUGUCUUGUCACUCUGUGGAGUACUAAUUUAUCUGUCUUAUGUCAGCCAUAAUGCAAGGAACUGAAGAACAGUCAUUGUUAUCCUGUACUCAAUGUUAAAAAAAAAACAGCAUUUAUUAUUCCAUUCAAUGUGAAUGUUUAGUAAAAUGGCAUAUGCAUGACAGAUUGUGCAACAUAUUGGAAUUGAUGUGUAUCAGUUGUGAUUGGUGUGGAUUGGACAGUGCAAACAGAAUGGUGUGGUUCAGAUCAAUCUAUCGGGCAGUACUUAUAUAAUACAGAUGGUGUUGGAGGCAAUGGGAGGGGAGAAUGUGAAAAGGGAGGGAUGGCUUCUUUAGAAUGAUAUGUAGAAUGACAUAAAGAACUCCAGGUUGUUGUUAUGGGAUAAUAAGUAAGUUGAUAAGAGAGAUGAAAGGGUGUUAGCAUGUUCCUAGAAGGCAUCUUAAAUGUCUGAAGCAGAUGUUAAGAAAUGUAGAACAAAUUUACAUUUCAUUUCCUUUCCUUUGAAAGUUACUUGGUAAGGGAUUUCUCUGUCUCAAUCACAAUUUCUAAUAUAGGGAGAUUGAGAUUCAAACAAUGGUUGAUAGUAACGUUUGAUGAUGGUCUGUGCACCCU